CUUUUACAAUGAAGAGUUUGAUCCUGGCUCAGGAUGAACGCUAGCUACAGGCUUAACACAUGCAAGUCGAGGGGCAGCAUCAUCAAAGCUUGCUUUGAUGGAUGGCGACCGGCGCACGGGUGAGUAACACGUAUCCAACCUGCCGACAACACUGGGAUAGCCUUUCGAAAGAAAGAUUAAUACCGGAUGGCAUAAUUAUUCCGCAUGGGAUAAUUAUUAAAGAAUUUCGGUUGUCGAUGGGGAUGCGUUCCAUUAGGCAGUUGGCGGGGUAACGGCCCACCAAACCUACGAUGGAUAGGGGUUCUGAGAGGAAGGUCCCCCACAUUGGAACUGAGACACGGUCCAAACUCCUACGGGAGGCAGCAGUGAGGAAUAUUGGUCAAUGGACGAGAGUCUGAACCAGCCAAGUAGCGUGAAGGAUGACUGCCCUAUGGGUUGUAAACUUCUUUUAUACGGGAAUAAAGUGAGCCACGUGUGGCUUUUUGUAUGUACCGUAUGAAUAAGGAUCGGCUAACUCCGUGCCAGCAGCCGCGGUAAUACGGAGGAUCCGAGCGUUAUCCGGAUUUAUUGGGUUUAAAGGGAGCGUAGGCGGGUUGUUAAGUCAGUUGUGAAAGUUUGCGGCUCAACCGUAAAAUUGCAGUUGAUACUGGCGACCUUGAGUGCAACAGAGGUAGGCGGAAUUCGUGGUGUAGCGGUGAAAUGCUUAGAUAUCACGAAGAACUCCGAUUGCGAAGGCAGCUUACUGGAUUGUAACUGACGCUGAUGCUCGAAAGUGUGGGUAUCAAACAGGAUUAGAUACCCUGGUAGUCCACACAGUAAACGAUGAAUACUCGCUGUUGGCGAUAUACUGUCAGCGGCCAAGCGAAAGCAUUAAGUAUUCCACCUGGGGAGUACGCCGGCAACGGUGAAACUCAAAGGAAUUGACGGGGGCCCGCACAAGCGGAGGAACAUGUGGUUUAAUUCGAUGAUACGCGAGGAACCUUACCCGGGCUUAAAUUGCAACUGACGGAACCGGAAACGGUUCUUUCUUCGGACAGUUGUGAAGGUGCUGCAUGGUUGUCGUCAGCUCGUGCCGUGAGGUGUCGGCUUAAGUGCCAUAACGAGCGCAACCCUUACGGGUAGUUACCAUCAGGUUAUGCUGGGGACUCUACCCGGACUGCCGUCGUAAGAUGUGAGGAAGGUGGGGAUGACGUCAAAUCAGCACGGCCCUUACGUCCGGGGCUACACACGUGUUACAAUGGGGGGUACAGAAGGCAGCUACACGGCGACGUGGUGCUAAUCCCAAAAGCCUCUCUCAGUUCGGAUUGGAGUCUGCAACCCGACUCCAUGAAGCUGGAUUCGCUAGUAAUCGCGCAUCAGCCACGGCGCGGUGAAUACGUUCCCGGGCCUUGUACACACCGCCCGUCAAGCCAUGAAAGCCGGGGGUACCUGAAGUACGUAACCGCGAGGAGCGUCCUAGGGUAAAACUGGUGAUUGGGGCUAAGUCGUAACAAGGUAGCCGUACCGGAAGGUGCGGCUGGAACACCUCCUUUCU
rnacentral:rRNA from 1 species